rnacentral:lncRNA from 1 species
AACAGAAUAAAAUAAAGGCUAUGAAUAUUUAACAAAGAUAAAUGAAAGAUUAGAAAUUCUGUGACCGCUUUAAGGAGUUCCUUAUAUCUCUUCCAGCUGCAGAGCAAAUGAAGUUGAGGAUCAACAACCAGAGCCUGUGGAAUAGAGUUGAGAGGUUAUUUCAUUUCUUUCCAAAGCCUGGAGUAAAUCAAAACUAAGCAAUGAAACCAAAGGAUAGAAGUGACUUCCUCACUGUUACUAAGUUUCCAAAACCUCAAGCUUACAGGCAUUACGUGGUGGAAAGGUAAUUAAGAAUGGAAAAUUUAAGAUUACUCAUCAAUUUGGUAUGUCACGACUACACAUAAAAAAAUCGCUGACUUUGUUUCCACGUUAGCUCACUACUCCACUACAUUUAAAGUAAGAUAAUGAGGACUGCUUGAGUAUUUGAACAGCAAAAGUAGUUCGGUGUGGGUUACCACAAACUAAUUCAACUAAUUCAGUUAGA